GACGUAGGAGGCGAGCGUUGUCCGGAUUCAUUGGGCGUAAAGAGCACGCAGGCGGUUGGCAAGUCGGAUGUGAAAACCCGGAGCUCAACUCCGGACCUGCAUCCGAAACUGCCCGACUAGAGGUAGGUGAGGGGAGAUCGGAAUUCCUGGUGUAGCGGUGAAAUGCGCAGAUAUCAGGAGGAACACCGGUGGCGAAGGCGGUCUCUGGGCCGAAAUUGACGCUGGAGGAGCGAAAGCGUGGGGAGCAAACAGG
rnacentral:rRNA from 1 species